AACGAACGCUGGCGGCAGGCCUCAAACAUGCAAGUCUAGGGGGUGUAGCAAUACAUCACCGGCGGACGGGUGCGUAACGCGUGGGAAUAUACCUAUCGAUUCGGAACAACUGAGGGAAACUUCAGCUAAUACCGAAUACGUCCUAACGGAGAAAGAUUUAUCGUCGAUAGAUUAGCCCGCGUUCGAUUAGCUAGUUGGUGGGGUAAACGGCCCACCAAGGCGACGAUCGAUAGCUGUUCUGAGAGGAAGAUCAGCCACACUGGGACUGAGACACGGCCCAGACUCCUACAGGAGGCAGCAGUUGGGAAUCUUGGACAAUGGGGGAAACCCUGAUCCAGCCAUGCCGCGUGAGUGAUGAAGGCCUUCGGGUUGUAAAACUCUUUCGCGCACGACGAUAAUGACGGUAGUGCGAGAAGAAGCUCCGGCUAACUUCGUGCCAGCAGCCGCGGUAAU
rnacentral:rRNA from 1 species